ACCCACUCUCAUGGAUGGGCUCAAUUACAUUCAUCUGCACCACAGGGAUAAAAAAGGGGAAGGAGCUGUAAGGACAGCUCAGAGCAUGAGGAAUCUAUUCAUGAAGUCUGUUGCCAUAUAAUUCCCCACCAUUAGUUCAUGAAUGAAAAAGGAGCACGGACUGAGGCACAAUCCCUGUGCUUUUGUGCAACCAUCAGGAAUAACAGCUGGACCAUCACAGACAUUCUUGGUGGAUUGUGCCCUUUGAAGAAAUAAAGUGGGAAUGUGACUUUCCCACUUUAAAAUUAAUGAAUGCAAAAUCCUGAAUACAAAUUGCAGGCUGCCCAUAGGUUUCAAGUGGUAAUGUCUCCCAAAGCUAGAGCCCACCUUUUUGUUUUGGGUAUUGUGAUAUGGGUAAAUAAAACUGUUUGCUCAUUUUUAGGAAAGUGGUAAAAUAAAUACUUUGGAUAGACAAUCCAAUUUCCCAUAUAUUCACAAUACUUAUUCCCCCCGCUUUUGAAUAGCUAAUUCUACAAAACAUAAUGACAAAGUAGUCACAGUCCAAGAAGUCACUCCGGAAUUAAGCCUAUUAGGUGUGAGUAUGAAUAUAUUUGUACUUCAGCCAGUAGACAAACAUUAAAGCUGAGAUAGUUUUAGCUUAAAAUAUUGGGUUAUAUAGUGGACACCUUUAUCUGCUCAGUACUCAUUUGAUUCACUGAUAUUACUCUAAUGAUAACAGUAUCACAGAAUGUUUAAUCUCGGCAUUUUUACAACUUUGCACAAUUACAAAGCUUGAAAUUAGCUUUAGUGGGACGUGAUGUCAUUUUUUCUGUCAGCCUAUUGUCGUCCCCUUUCUUUGCAGGAGAUCAUCUGCCCUAGCAUGAUCUAGAUCAGCGCUUGAUAAUUUAAAUCAGAAAAAGUGCUAAAUUAUUUAGAGCCUCAAAUGCCAGGGUGACUAUAUACUGCAGCACAGAUAUGAAACACCAUAAUUUUGUCUGAUGGCUAGGAAGCUUGUCGGCCAUUUUGUGAAAAAAACGCUGACUGAGCUGUUGACAGCUUUUCCAAAGGCCUAUUGUAUGUUAUAUUAAAUACAUUCAUUAUUCUUUGUUACUAUAUUUAUGCUUGCUUUAGUGUUACCUUUAUGGGCAGAGUCCCCAAAGCUUGGAAAUUAAAAGUUGAUUUCUAACAUGUAAAAAAGGAAGACGGAAAUUAGUUGGCUGUAGCAUGGCAUAAGCAGUGCCUGAACCACAGUAUUUGCAUCACAGUUAGAGCUCACCUAAUGUCUGGAUGUAUUGAUUGAGGGGCUGGAUUUGGCCUUUACAAAAGGCCAUUGGCAAGUUCCAGUACAGAAAUUAGUUUCGUCACCUUUCAGGAUGCAUUAUGGGAGAGUGAUUCAGGCCCAACUGCAGCUUUUUUUCAGCUAAACAUAGAUCAUAGUUUAAAAUAUCAUGAUCUGAUUACUUAUCUUUUUGCAUGUGCUACAGGCCUGGAUCAAAGCCCUCUGAAACUUGAAGUAUUCAUGGUUGACCAUUUUCCAUUGCAAUAUGCUGAUAUGAGUCAACAUGGAACAUAGAAGAAAAGCAGCCUCACAUCUGCAGUCUUCUGUAAGAAAUCACUCCGGAACCCCACUAUGGAUUCUGAUGUUGCUUUGGAAUUGGGCCUGGCUUCUAGAGGAAGUGGCCUGGAUUUGCUAACUCUAAUCUUCGGGCUUGACAAGUGCUGUGCAACUUUCUAAGAGCCUAGGACACAAUCCAGGCAAAGGUUUCACACUGGUUUGCAGAACCUUACAUGUUUAAACAUUUUAUAAACACAUGGAUGUUUAUUCAAAGACAAGAUUUUCCAAAUGAAUGGACAGACAGACAGACAGACUGACAGACAAACAACCCCAUGCACACGAUUUCUACUAAAUGAAUCUACUUGUAUAUUGAAAGCAGUGUAAAGUUCCCAGGGCAAAAUGGCAUUUGUCAAGGUGAUGGGUUGCAAAUUCCCUAAAUACUGUCUAGAACUUCCAUGGUUUUCUGAUUCUACCUGUUCCACUUGUCCUGGUGAAGAGUUUCAGGAGGAAAAGGUAAUCUUGCAAUGUAAGACCAAUAAAUAUAGGACCAAUAAAUACAGGACAAAUAUAAGACAUCCUCAGUCUGGCCAUAGGAUAAAUGUGGAGCAGUCUCUUCGUAAGAAGGAAAUAAGAACACACUAAGUACUUACCGCACUCAUGAGAGAAUCCAACACACUGACUGCAAAUGCAGUUCCACAUGCAAAAGGCUGUGUGAGAUACAGUUCUGUAUCAGGAUCAUCGUCAUCAUCUUGGUCCAAAAACUGAACAUUUGAAUCAUUCACUAAAAAGAUAAUGAGUAAACAAAACUGUUGUUUCCAAGUACCAACAGGUGACCUUUACGUACUUCAUGUGAAGAGAAAAGAUCUUUGUGUUGAGAAACAAAGGCAUCUCUUGAACGCUACUAAGAGUGAAAUUAAAAUGGAUGUGAAAUGUGCAUUGGGGCAGGGGGAUUCAGUCGAUCCUUAUGAAAGGUGAAUAUCCCUGAGCAGCAAAAGUGACCUUCUCAGGUGGGGAUUUUCUUGGCACCAUCUGGAGCACAGAGCACUAACCACAGCUGGGCUUGCCUUGUAAGGAGGAGGGGAUAGCACAAGUUUUACUUCAUGCAAUAGAUUAUUCCACAAAACAUACUCUAAGAACAAAAGGAAGGGAAGGCUUGGCUUUAAAAAACUAUUCUGAUGACAUGAUGCAUUUGUGUGUGGGGGGGAUGUCUGAUAUUAAAUUGUACCUCUAAAAAUGGGAAUAGUACAAAGGGGAUGGCCAGAAGUACAGCUAAAAGAUUGAAGGAUUUAUCCUGAACCAUACUUUCUGCUCCUGACAUCAGGGAGUUUGCCUAGAUUUCUACACCACAGCAUACAGAAUAGUUUAUGCUCAUUUGCAAAUAAGGAUUACACAGCAUGAACACCACCAUGUGUGCUGAGUGCCUUAUGGGCGCCUCUUUAUACAGGGCAAAUUCUAGCAACGAUUUGCCACAGAGUUAGGCCUCCUCCAUAUUGUGGGUUCAGAUGAUACCACUGAUUGACCUGCUCAAAUGCACUGUUGAAGCCACCUCAAGGCUACAUAAGCCCAACUGUCCCUAGCCAUGCUAUUUAAAGUAGUAUUAAACUGCAUGGUGAAGGGUGGUUUGGACACUGUGCCCCCUUCAUGUGAUUUCGUGCCAGUACACGCUCCUCCCCACAAGACUUGGUGGGCUGCUUAGGCGGUAUUGUCCAAACCAGUGUACAGAUGUAAUAAACCUCUCUCUGGGUGUACCAUUUCAGUUGGCAGGUGGGUACCAACAUGAUUGGCUGCUCUGAUCACAUGUAUCACUGGUGGCUAUGCUCAUGUAUAGUCUGGUUUCUCCACAUGAUUUAAUAACAGAGGGUGAUCAAGAGGGAUUGUGGGGGGGGGCAAGGUGGGAGGAAGAAAGGAAAGUGGCUUGCUUAAUCGUAUUAACUGUCUGUAGCUAAAACCAUGGCACAACUGCGAUUAGAGUUAGAUUCUCCAACCUUGCCCUUUGCUGUAACUAGUCCAAAAUAAUGUGUCUUAUAGUGACCUCUGAAUAUAGAAAAACAGAUUCAUUUCAAUAGCUCAUCUUAAAAUAAAAUGGUUUUGUUUAACA